rnacentral:rRNA from 1 species
AACGAACGCUGGCGGCAUGCCUAACACAUGCAAGUCGAACGAUUGCCUUCGGGUGAUAGUGGCGCACGGGUGCGUAACGCGUGGGAAUCUGCCCUUAGGUUCGGAAUAACAGCUGGAAACGGCUGCUAAUACCGGAUGAUAUCGCGAGAUCAAAGAUUUAUCGCCUGAGGAUGAGCCCGCGUUGGAUUAGGUAGUUGGUGGGGUAAAGGCCUACCAAGCCGACGAUCCAUAGCUGGUCUGAGAGGAUGAUCAGCCACACUGGGACUGAGACACGGCCCAGACUCCUACGGGAGGCAGCAGUGGGGAAUAUUGGACAAUGGGCGCAAGCCUGAUCCAACAAUGCCGCGUGAGUGAUGAAGGCCCUAGGGUUGUAAAGCUCUUUUACCCGGGAAGAUAAUGACUGUACCGGGAGAAUAAGCCCCGGCUAACUCCGUG